rnacentral:rRNA from 1 species
CCUACGGGUGGCAGCAGUGAGGAAUAUUGGUCAAUGGGCGCUAGCCUGAACCAGCCAAGUAGCGUGAAGGAUGACUGCCCUAUGGGUUGUAAACUUCUUUUAUAUGGGAAUAAAGUGCGGCACGUGUGCCGUUUUGCAUGUACCUUAUGAAUAAGGAUCGGCUAACUCCGUGCCAGCAGCCGCGGUAAUACGGAGGAUCCGAGCGUUAUCCGGAUUUAUUGGGUUUAAAGGGAGCGUAGAGGGGUUGUUAAGUCAGUUGUGAAAGUUUGCGGCUCAACCGUAAAAUUGCAGUUGAUACUGGCAGUCUUGAGUACAGUAGAGGUAGGCGGAAUUCGUGGUGUAGCGGUGAAAUGCUUAGAUAUCACGAAGAACUCCGAUUGCGAAGGCAGCAUACUGGACUGCAACUGACGCUGAUGCUCGAAAGUGUGGGUAUCAAACAGGAUUAGAUACCCUAGUAGUC